rnacentral:rRNA from 1 species
CCUACGGGUGGCAGCAGUCGAGAAUCAUUCACAAUGGGGGAAACCCUGAUGGUGCGACGCCGCGUGGGGGAAUGAAGCUCUUCGGAUUGUAAACCCCUGUCAUGUGGGAGCAAAUUAAAAUGAUCGUACCACACUAGGAAGAGACGGCUAACUCUGUGCCAGCAGCCGCGUUAAUACAGAGGUCUCAAGCGUUGUUCGUCAUCACUGGGCGUAAAGCGUGCGUAGGCUGUUGCGUAAGUCGUGUGUGAAAGGCGGGGGCUCAACCCGCGGACGGCACAUGAUACUGCGAGGCUAGAGAAAAGGAGGGGGAGGCGGAAUUCUCGGUGUAGCAGUGAAAUGCGUAGAUAUCGAGAGGAACACUCGUGGCGAAGGCGGGUUACUGGACAUUAACUGACGCUGAGGCACGAAGGCCAGGGGAGCGAAAGGGAUUAGAUACCCCUGUAGUC